UACGAAGGGGGCUAGCGUUGCUCGGAAUUACUGGGCGUAAAGGGCGCGUAGGCGGACAGUUAAGUCAGAGGUGAAAGCCCAGGGCUCAACCCUGGAAUAGCCUUUGAUACUGGCUGUCUUGAGUGCGGGAGAGGUGUGUGGAACUCCGAGUGUAGAGGUGAAAUUCGUAGAUAUUCGGAAGAACACCAGUGGCGAAGGCGACACACUGGCCCGUAACUGACGCUGAGGCGCGAAAGCGUGGGGAGCAAACAGG
rnacentral:rRNA from 2 species